rnacentral:rRNA from 1 species
AGAGUUUGAUCAUGGCUCAGGACGAACGCUGGCGGCGUGCUUAACACAUGCAAGUCGAACGAUGAACCACUUCGGUGGGGAUUAGUGGCGAACGGGUGAGUAACACGUGGGCAAUCUGCCCUUCACUCUGGGACAAGCCCUGGAAACGGGGUCUAAUACCGGAUACGACACUCUCGGGCAUCCGAUGAGUGUGGAAAGCUCCGGCGGUGAAGGAUGAGCCCGCGGCCUAUCAGCUUGUUGGUGAGGUAACGGCUCACCAAGGCGACGACGGGUAGCCGGCCUGAGAGGGCGACCGGCCACACUGGGACUGAGACACGGCCCAGACUCCUACGGGAGGCAGCAGUGGGGAAUAUUGCACAAUGGGCGAAAGCCUGAUGCAGCGACGCCGCGUGAGGGAUGACGGCCUUCGGGUUGUAAACCUCUUUCAGCAGGGAAGAAGCGAAAGUGACGGUACCUGCAGAAGAAGCGCCGGCUAACUACGUGCCAGCAGCCGCGGUAAUACGUAGGGCGCGAGCGUUGUCCGGAAUUAUUGGGCGUAAAGAGCUCGUAGGCGGUCUGUCGCGUCGGAUGUGAAAGCCCGGGGCUUAACCCCGGGUCUGCAUUCGAUACGGGCAGACUAGAGUGUGGUAGGGGAGAUCGGAAUUCCUGGUGUAGCGGUGAAAUGCGCAGAUAUCAGGAGGAACACCGGUGGCGAAGGCGGAUCUCUGGGCCAUUACUGACGCUGAGGAGCGAAAGCGUGGGGAGCGAACA